UACAGAGGGUGCGAGCGUUAAUCGGAAUUACUGGGCGUAAAGCGCGCGUAGGCGGCUUUGCAAGCCGGAUGUGAAAUCCCCGGGCUCAACCUGGGAAUUGCAUUCGAAACUGCGAGGCUAGGGUACGGAAGAGGGAAGCGGAAUUUCUGGUGUAGCGGUGAAAUGCGUAGAUAUCAGAAGGAACAUCAGUGGCGAAAGCGGCUUCCUGGUCCAGUACCGACGUUCAGGCACGAAAGCGUGGGGAGCAAACAGG
rnacentral:rRNA from 1 species